rnacentral:rRNA from 1 species
GACGAACGCUGGCGGCGUGCUUAACACAUGCAAGUCGAACGGUAACAUAAAAGAAGCUUGCUUCUUUUGAUGACGAGUGGCGGACGGGUGAGUAAUAUUUGGGAAACUACCUGAUAGAGGGGGACAACAGUUGGAAACGACUGCUAAUACCGCAUAAAGCCUAAGGGUGAAAGCAGCAAUGCGCUAUCAGAUGUGCCCAAACGGGAUUAGCUAGUAGGUGAGGUAAAGGCUCACCUAGGCGACGAUCUCUAGCUGGUCUGAGAGGAUGAUCAGCCACAUUGGGACUGAGACACGGCCCAGACUCCUACGGGAGGCAGCAGUAGGGAAUAUUGCACAAUGGAGGAAACUCUGAUGCAGCCAUGCCGCGUGUGUGAAGAAGGCCUUCGGGUUGUAAAGCACUUUCGGAGGGGAGGAAAAGAUGACGUUACCCUCAGAAGAAGCACCGGCUAACUCCGUG